rnacentral:misc_RNA from 1 species
UAAUAAGUGUUUUAUGGCACUUUUUAAAUCCAUAUCCACCUUGUGUGCAAUGUCAGUCGAUCUUCUUCAUGGAGAUCGACCAAACAUCAACCUUUAUCUUUUAACUCUUUGUUUUAAAAAUAUUAUGAAUAAACAAUUCAAAAUA